rnacentral:rRNA from 1 species
CAAUAGCGUAUAUUAAAGUUGUUGCGGUUAAAAAAGCUCGUAGUUGGAGUUCUGCCAGGUGCCGCCUGUCCGCCCCAGUGGUGAGUACGUGGCGCGCAUUUGGCCCUUUCAAGGGGAGCGUAUCUGCACUUUAUUGUGUGGUGCGGGAUCCUUGACUUUUACUUUGAGGAAAUAGGAGUGUUCCAAGCAGGCUCUCGUCGUGCACAGCUCAGCAUGGAAUAAUAGCAUUGGACCUCGAUUCUAAGCUGUUGGUUGCCAGAAGCGAGGUAAUGAUGAAGAGGGAUAGUUGGGGGCAUUCGUAUUUAACUGUCAGAGGUGAAAUUCUUGGAUUUUGUUAAGAACGGACUACGUAGUCGUAAGCCAAAGUCCUAGUUCCGACCUAGGGGAAUUGGUUUUUUUCCAUUUUAAGUACUACGAAACGGAAAACGGUUAAAAGGGGUUAAGGGGUACGUACGGAAACGGAACGUACUACGAAGUAACCUAACCUACUUCGUAGGAACGUACGU